AGGGUGUAAACGCUGCAGAUUUGGUGUUGGGGGCCCUUUGGGGGCAUUCAGUGCCGGAGAGAAGUUGUUAAGUCUGCUACUUGGGGAGUACGUCCGCAAGGAUGAAACUUAAAGGAAUUGGCGGGGGAGCACCGCAACGGGAGGAGCGUGCGGUUUAAUUGGAUUCAACACCGUAAAACUCACCAGGGAAGACUGUUACAUGAAACCCAGACUAAUGAUCUUGGUUGAUUUUCUAGAGAGGUGGUGCAUGGC
rnacentral:rRNA from 1 species